UCAUGUUGAACAAAUAGUCUCCAUCAACCAUCAAUUUCAAGAGAACAAGAUGUCUCAUGAUAAUGUACAACCUGUUGCACCACUGGAGGUAAUGCAAUGUGAUACAAGUCUUGAUGACUCUCCAGGUGAGCCCAUUAAAACAUUGUUUGAUUCAUCUCAUGAACACAAAGUAAAUAGCAUAAACUCAAGUGAAUGCGUGAAAG
rnacentral:lncRNA from 1 species